CAUGUAAAUAGCACGUUGGUCUCAAAUAAGACAUUGAUACAUUACAACACUUGCCGUCAGUAUAUGAAAAUAUUGAUUAAGAAGGUUGUCAGCAAGAUGAAAAGGACAAAUAUUGCAGUUCAAAAUUCAAAAUGUGGAUAAGCUGAGGUUCUUGAAAGGUCAUACCUUUGCAGAUUUUCAUAUUUUGCAUGAAUGAAGUUAAAGUUUAUAUGAUGGAUGGCAGAGAAAGAAAAAAAAACUUUUCAAUUAUCCUGCUCCUGAAGGAUAAAUGUAAAACAUCUUGUUUUCGAAGGAUUGAAAUUCAUCACCUAGAAUAAAUGGAGAAAACAUAUAGAUACAAGACCAGAAUAAAUUCAAAGACAAAAGUUGGAUC